CAGGUGCCUUCAGGAGGAGCUGGAAGGACUCUUGGAGAGGGAGUGGCUGCAUUUGGAUCCCAUGAUUUAUCAGUUGGAAGUACACAGGAAACAGAUAACUGAUGGUGCAGGAUGCAGCCCAUGGAAAGGAGGCUUACACAGCAGCACUGAGGCUUUUUCUUGCACCAGGAACUGACAGUGCCUGGAGUCGUGGUCCUGGUCACAGUCUGGAGGCUUUCCUACUCGCUUUAAACUACUGAAAUUAGGGAUAUACUCAUGGGCACUGAGGAGGGCUUCAGUAGUAGUUGUGGGUGUGUGAAUGAAGCCAAGGGACAGCCAGGGUCAGUAGCACGUGUCGGAGUGAUUUCAGUCUUGUAUCACAUUUCCAAUAAUAAAACGCUAAAAAUCACAGAAUCCCAGAAUGGUUUGGGUUGGAAGAGACCAUCGAGCUUAUUCAGUCCCACCCCUGCCACGGGCUGAGACACCUCCCACUAGCCCAGGUUGCUCCAAGCCCUGUCCAGCCUGGCCAUGGACACUUCCAGGGAUCCAGGGGCAGCCACAGCUUCUCUGGGCACCCUGUGCCAGGGCCUCCCCACCCUGACACGGAACGAUUCCCUCCCAAUGUCCCAUCUCACUCUGCUCGUCCGGGACGAGCCGGCACCGCCACCCUCACCUGGGGCAGGUGCGGGCACAGACCCCGGGCUGAGGGACCGGUCCUGCUGCGGUAUGGCCGGGCGGGAGGACGCCAGGUGAGGGAGGGACCCCGGGGUGAGGGAGGAACCCCGGGGUGAGGGAGGGACCCCGGGGUGAGGGAGGGACCCUCAGG